CUACGGGUCGCUGCAGUGAGGAAUAUUGCACAAUGGGGGGAACCCUGAUGCAGCAACGCCGCGUGGAGGAUGACGCGUUUCGGUGUGUAAACUCCUUUUAUAUGUCAAGAAAAUGACGGUAGCAUAUGAAUAAGCACCGACUAACUCCGUGCCAGCAGCCGCGGUAAUACGGAGGGUGCAAGCGUUACUCGGAAUCACUGGGCGUAAAGGACGCGUAGGCGAGUUGGAAAGUCAGGUGUGAAAUCCUACAGCUUAACUGUAGAACUGCACUUGAAACUUCUAAUCUAGAGUAUGGGAGGGGGAGAUGGAAUUAGUGGUGUAGGGGUAAAAUCCGUAGAUAUCACUAGGAAUACCUAAAGCGAAGGCGAUCUCCUGGAACAUUACUGACGCUAAGGCGUGAAAGCGUGGGGAGCAAACAGGAUUAGAUACCCGGGUAGUC
rnacentral:rRNA from 1 species